GCUGGCGGCGUGCCUAACACAUGCAAGUCGAACGAGAAAGUGGAGCAAUCCAUGAAGUAAAGUGGCGACCGGGUGAGUAACACGUGACUAACCUACCUCCGAGUGGGGAAUAACUCCGGGAAACCGGGGCUAAUACCGCAUAACAUCGCAAGAUCAAAGCAGCAAUGCGCUUGGAGAGGGGGUCGCGGCUGAUUAGCUAGUUGGCGGGGUAACGGCCCACCAAGGCGAAGAUCGGUAUCCGGCCUGAGAGGGCGCACGGACACACUGGAACUGAAACACGGUCCAGACUCCUACGGGAGGCAGCAGUGGGGAAUUUUGCGCAAUGGGGGAAACCCUGACGCAGCAACGCCGCGUGGAGGAUGAAGCCCUUUGGGGCGUAAACUCCUUUCGACUCGGACGAUAAUGACGGUACGAGUGGAAGAAGCACCGGCUAACUCUGUGCCAGCAGCCGCGGUAAUACAGAGGGUGCAAGCGUUGUUCGGAAUUAUUGGGCGUUAAGGGCGCGUANGCGGUGCGGUAAGUCACCUGUGAAAUCUCCCGGCUUACUCGGAGCCUGCAGGCGAAACUACCGUGCUGGAGUGUUGGGAAAAGUGCGUGGAAUUCCCGGUGUAGCGGUGAAAUGCGUAAAU
rnacentral:rRNA from 1 species